UAGCAUAUUUAGGGUUUAAAUUAUAAAAAUAGGCAUUUAGAGGCAUUUUUCUGACCACAUCUGAAAUUUGCGGUUUUCACAAUUCACAGGGUACUGUAGGAAUGUAACCUCAGAGAAUUUUGCACUAUAUUCUAAAGGUGUGUUAUCUCUUAAAGAGGGUAAGCAGUAAAAGUGAUAGGGACAGGUAGUAACAAACGAGGAUGCUUUCUUUUAAAAACACUAAGAGUGAAAGCGCUAAGGAUAGGGGAGGUUGGAAGGCGGAGGCAGGGCCAAUAACCAGCUCUGCUUCAUCAGGUUGCUUAAACCAUCUCCAUGGUGAGAACCGAGCACUGGAGCUUUAAGACAUCUAAAGAGCAAUAAUUAGUACUAUUCUUGUGUGCUAGAGGAGAUGAGAUAAAGGUAGAAUAUAAAGACUGAAUUAAGCAUUAGGGUCAUGUCAGCGUGACCAAUAUCUUCUUUGCUUUUUUUCCCUUUUAGAGCUAAGUUGUCUACAUGUUGGAAAAGAAACUUGGAACCAGAAUCUCUUCAUCACCAAAUAUGUUUUAAUUGCUAAAUAUGCCCGGUUUAAAUAGAUAUCACCUAAUCUGUUCAUCUACAGAGUAUGAAAUGUAGGCUUUUAAAGGAAAUGAAGGUCUAUAUAAGUCUUUCCAGACAAAUUUUGUUUGAGGAAUGUAUUAAAAAUAUUAAUCUCUCUUUCACCAACUCGAUGACAGAUUUAAGUAGAACAAUAUUGUACAAAUCAGAAGCUAGUGCUGUGUAUUAAAGUUAAAUGAUAAUCUACAGUAACAGGGGGCUAUAAUUUAGAUAACUGAAACCAUGGUCAACUUAAAAAAAACACUUUUGUGAAAUGUGGUCACCUAAAUACACACUCACACUUUAUCAACAUCAGCCUUUCUCUCUGGUCUCAUCUUAGUCACCUGAGACCUUAAAAUAAGGCCAAACUUCACCCUCCCCCACCUUAGUGUUGCUGAUAGAGUGACAGAGGCACUAGGUGGACCUUGACGAUCAUCCAGUUUCAACCUUUUUUUGUCAUGUGGCUGUACAGAUUUUGUUUAAAUAUCUCCAAGGAUUAAAAGUUCCUUGCAUCCAAAAGAGCACUUCUUUUUUCAGUAUGGGAAUUGAACCAAGAAUUUUGCCUAAACUAUAUCCCUAGUCCUUUUUCAUUUUUAAAAUUUUGAGACAGGAGGUCACAAAGCCACUAAGUUGCCCAGGCUGGGCUGGAACUUGUAAUCUUCUGGCUCCAGCCUCCCGUAGUAUGGGGGUUAUAGGCAUGCACCACCAUGCCCAGUUUUAGGUCUAGGCAAUAAAUGGAAAAAUGCACUUUACACUAUUGAUUAGGCAUCUGCACCCAUUUGGAGUCCUUCUAUAGGUCCUAUUUCUGACCUUUUGGUGAUAGUUUUAAAAUACUGCUUAUUUCACGUGAUAGCAUUGGAAGGUAGCUAUCAUUUCAAUCCCAAAGGGUUUCCUUCCAACUUCCACAGAACUCCUGAGAUUAAAAUUUAUUCAUCAUCUUGAGUAUUACCCUCUGGACACCUCAUUUUCCAAUAAAUCUUAACGUAUAGCACUCAGAAGCAAGGAUAAUAUUAAAAGGAUAAUAAAAGACCAAGAAAAGGAGAAAUUUCUCAGAAUAAAUUGAGGUCAAGAGUGUGAAUAAGUACAAAUCUGUGGGAUUAAAGUAUACAUACAUACAUUUACAUAUAUAUAGUAAUUGUGAAAAAAGUAUUUUAAGAAAAAGGUUAGUUAACAAAACAUUUUAAUGAGUUUCACUUUGCAAAAUACACCCAAGAGGCAAUCAUAUUACAAAGAGAGCUUAAACCAAGGCCUUCUACAGUCGUGUCUCAGUUCUUAAGACUAACUUCUGAAAUGCUUAAACAACAUAAAAGAUGUAAAGUGAAAAUAUAAUCUUGAAUGAACAAAUAUGAGAAAUAGUCCUCUUUGAACUAGGGAUCCAGCAUGUUGGAGUUUUCAAAAUCAUUCUCUCCAAGGUGGUCACUGUGGUUGGUGUGGAUCCAUAUUUGACAUACUCAGACUACUUCAACUCAGGUAACCCCACACUGAAGUGUACUACCAAAAUGUUAAUUGAGAUAAGUGGAAGAAAGUGGUUUUCUCUCUCUCUUUUUUUUGGUACUGGGGAUCGAACUCGGGACCUUGUGCUUUCAAGGCAGGCGGCAGAACCAUUGAGCUAAAUCCCCGGCCCAGAAAAUAGUUUUCUCAAUAAGUGGUUUACUCAAUAUCAUAUUCUAGAAGAAAAAUUUGUGUGAGAAAACGCUAAAGAGAUAAUUUUUAAAUCCAGAUUUCACAAACUAGUGGUCAUAAUACAUCCCAGAGCUUUCUCUAGAGUUAUAAACUGCCCAUCACUGCUUAGUGGCUGCGUGUGAAACUUUGAUUGAAAUAACUCCGAUGUUCCUAACAAAACUAUUCACAUCCACCCAUGCUAUUCUGACCAACAGCCACUCUCGAGUUGGCUCUCCAGCCACUGUAGGUCACGUGGGUGGCUCCCCGCCACCGUCAUUGGGCUGUUCUAAGUCCUGUUGCUGGCCCCUGUUGUUGAAUUCAGGAAAAGUUCUAUGUAUCUGUGCUGCAUGUUGGCCCUGUCUUUCCUCAUAGCUGUCAGUUUCUUUGUGGGUGGGAAACUCAACUUCUGUGAUAUCUGUCACUCUUCAGUCAGGGCCAAUCCCAUUAUGGACUCUCACAGGUUUGGGCAGAGAGAAGUUGUAGAUGUCAUUCUAGGUGGUUGGUAGGGCAGCCCCCUCCUGUGAAUGCACGGCUUGGUGGUCUCUGCCCACCAGAGUCCCCAUAUUUUGCGUUGUAGGUACCAAACCUCAGCUUCUCCAGGCCCGCCUGCUUCAUAAUGCCAAUGUACCUGUAGGCUGUGCUGCCAGGCUGUGCCUGGCUGCUGCAUGGACAUGAACUUCAGGAUCUGAGCAUGACCUAACCUCCUCCUGGCUGCUCUUGAACACUACAGUGUAUGUACCUGGGUACUGUCCUCUCCUAGUUCUUCCCUAGAACCCUCUCAGCUGACUCCUGCAAAGUGAACUGCAUGAAGGCCUCACCAGUAAUCUUGCCCUCCGGCCCCACAGUCGUGUAAUCCUGUUUGGCAUGAUUUCCAACCCUGAGAAAAUCUGCUCCACGAACAGAAGGUUUCAAAGGUGCUGUUCGACAAGUGACGGCUGGCUCCAUCACGGUUGGCGCCCGAACAGGGACCUGAAUACGGGGGACCAUAGUGAAGGACACCGCGGAUUGUGAGCUCGGAUAAGUAAAUUAAGGGCGGUGAAUACACUCGGGAGUAACAAGAUGGGUAUUGGUAAUAGCGGAAUGCUUUUUGAACGUAUGCUUAAAAAUAUGCUUCGCGCUCGUGGAGCAAAGGACGCUGAAGGUGCCAGGUGGCUACCUGAAAGAUUGGUCCAUUUUGCGGAAAAUUCUCCUGCCCCUUAGGAUGAUCCUGACAACUGUCCUGCUGAUAAAUCUAAUGAUGACGCUUAAUGAGAAGGUGUAUUGGACUUAUGUACCUGAUCCACCUGUUGUACAUCCAACGAGCUGAAAAAAUGGAGAAGUAGUGGUAUGGGUGAACAAUACCAGGCUGUUGGAUGAGCCGGCGGCACCUGACAAGAACGAGGUCCAAUUGUUCAACUAUAUGGGAUCAGAAACCGGAAUCCCCAUAUGUUUCUCCAAAAUCAACAGAACUGAUUGUGUAAGACUGAGCGCUCGCACCCUGGCAGGAAGGCAGGUAGAUCAAUGCAAAGGCAGGAUCACUGGAGUCCAUCUACAUCUACCUGUGGGUAUAGAGACCACUGGUGUAGUGCCUCUGACUUUUAAUGCUCCAAUGGGACUGUUCCAUGGAAGAGAUGUGUGGCAGAUGCCCCUGUGAGAUAUAAUAUUACUGGAUUUGAUACUUAUGUUUUGGACUGGUCUGAAAAUUCUUGUCAUCCCAAAA